rnacentral:rRNA from 1 species
UACUUAGGGUGCAAGCGUUAAUCGGAAUUACUGGGCGUAAAGCGUGCGCAGGCGGUUUUGUAAGUCUGUCGUGAAAGCCCCGGGCUCAACCUGGGAAUUGCGAUGGAGACUGCAAGGCUUGAAUCUGGCAGAGGGGGGUAGAAUUCCACGUGUAGCAGUGAAAUGCGUAGAGAUGUGGAGGAACACCGAUGGCGAAGGCAGCCCCCUGGGUCAAGAUUGACGCUCAUGCACGAAAGCGUGGGGAGCAAACAGG